ACGAGUGUGCCGAAAUGGUAGCCGGGUGAAUCUUAGGAAUUCAUGAUUUUCGGAUCGUAAGAGUUCAAGUCUCUUUGCUCGUA
rnacentral:tRNA from 1 species